rnacentral:rRNA from 1 species
UGGGGGAAUAUUGGACAAUGGGCCACAAGCCUGAUCCAGCAAUUCUGUGUGCACGAUGAAGGUCUUCGGAUCGUAAGUGCUUUCAGUAGGGAAGAAAAAAUGACGGUACCUACAGAAGAAGCGACGGCUAAAU